AGCAUUAUACCGUGAAACUGCGAAUGGCUCAUUAAAUCAGUUAUCGUUUAUUUGAUAGUACCUUACUACUUGGAUAACCGUGGUAAUUCUAGAGCUAAUACAUGCUAAAAACCCCAACUUCGGGAGGGGUGUAUUUAUUAGAUAAAAAACCAAUGCCCUUCGGGGCUCCUUGGUGAUUCAUGAUAACUUCUCAGAUCGCAUGGCUUUACGCCGGCGACGGUUCAUUCAAAUUUCUGCCCUAUCAACUUUCGAUGGUAAGGUAUUGGCUUACCAUGGUUUCAACGGGUAACGGGGAAUUAGGGUUCGAUUCCGGAGAGGGAGCCUGAGAAACGGCUACCACAUCCAAGGAAGGCAGCAGGCGCGCAAAUUACCCAAUUCCGAUACGGAGAGGUAGUGACAAUAAAUACUGAUACAGGGCUCUUUUGGGUCUUGUAAUUGGAAUGAGUACAAUUUAAACCUCUUAACGAGGAACAAUUGGAGGGCAAGUCUGGUGCCAGCAGCCGCGGUAAUUCCAGCUCCAAUAGCGUAUAUUAAAGUUGUUGCAGUUAAAAAGCUCGUAGUUGAACCUUUGGCCUGGCUGGCAGGUCCGCCUCACCGCGUGCACUUGUCCGGCCGGGCCUUUUCUUCUGGAGAACCGCAUGCCCUUCACUGGGUGUGUUGGGGACCAGGACUUUUACUUUGAAAAAAUUAGAGUGUUCAAAGCAGGCCUUUGCUCGAAUACGUUAGCAUGGAAUAAUAGAAUAGGACGUGCGGUCCUAUUUUGUUGGUUUCUAGGACCGCCGUAAUGAUUAAUAGGGACAGUCGGGGGCAUCAGUAUUCAAUUGUCAGAGGUGAAAUUCUUGGAUUUAUUGAAGACUAACUACUGCGAAAGCAUUUGCCAAGGAUGUUUUCAUUAAUCAGUGAACGAAAGUUAGGGGAUCGAAGACGAUCAGAUACCGUCGUAGUCUUAACCAUAAACUAUGCCGACUAGGGAUCGGGCG
rnacentral:rRNA from 1 species